rnacentral:rRNA from 1 species
UACGUAGGGUGCAAGCGUUAAUCGGAAUUACUGGGCGUAAAGCGUGCGCAGGCGGUUAUGCAAGACAGAUGUGAAAUCCCCGGGCUUAACCUGGGAACUGCAUUUGUGACUGCAUGGCUAGAGUGUGGCAGAGGGGGAUGGAAUUCCGCGUGUAGCAGUGAAAUGCGUAGAUAUGCGGAGGAACACCUGCGGCGAAGGCGGGUAGCUGGGCCGACACUGACGCUGAUGCGCGAAAGCCAGGGGAGCGAACGGG